GACGAACGCUGGCGGCGUGCCUAAUACAUGCAAGUCGAGCGGACAGAUGGGAGCUUGCUCCCUGAUGUUAGCGGCGGACGGGUGAGUAACACGUGGGUAACCUGCCUGUAAGACUGGGAUAACUCCGGGAAACCGGGGCUAAUACCGGAUGGUUGUUUGAACCGCAUGGUUCAAACAUAAAAGGUGGCUUCGGCUACCACUUACAGAUGGACCCGCGGCGCAUUAGCUAGUUGGUGAGGUAACGGCUCACCAAGGCGACGAUGCGUAGCCGACCUGAGAGGGUGAUCGGCCACACUGGGACUGAGACACGGCCCAGACUCCUACGGGAGGCAGCAGUAGGGAAUCUUCCGCAAUGGACGAAAGUCUGACGGAGCAACGCCGCGUGAGUGAUGAAGGUUUUCGGAUCGUAAAGCUCUGUUGUUAGGGAAGAACAAGUACCGUUCGAAUAGGGCGG
rnacentral:rRNA from 1 species